UACAGAGGUCUCGAGCGUUAGGCGGAAUCACUGGGCUUAAAGCGUGUGUAGGCGGAUUGGUAAGUACCUUGUGAAAUCCCACGGCUCAACCGUGGAACUGCUCGGUAUACUGCCUGUCUUGUGCAACCUAGGGGCGAGCGGAACAGAUGGUGGAGCGGUGAAAUGCGUAGAUAAUCAUCUGGAACGCCAAUGGUGAAAACAGCUCGCUGGGGGUUUG
rnacentral:rRNA from 1 species